rnacentral:rRNA from 1 species
CUCAGAUUGAACGCUGGCGGCAGGCCUAACACAUGCAAGUCGAACGGUAGCACAGAGAGCUUGCUCUCGGGUGACGAGUGGCGGACGGGUGAGUAAUGUCUGGGAAACUGCCUGAUGGAGGGGGAUAACUACUGGAAACGGUAGCUAAUACCGCAUAACGUCGCAAGACCAAAGAGGGGGACCUUCGGGCCUCUUGCCAUCAGAUGUGCCCAGAUGGGAUUAGCUAGUAGGUGGGGUAACGGCUCACCUAGGCGACGAUCCCUAGCUGGUCUGAGAGGAUGACCAGCCACACUGGAACUGAGACACGGUCCAGACUCCUACGGGAGGCAGCAGUGGGGAAUAUUGCACAAUGGGCGCAAGCCUGAUGCAGCCAUGCCGCGUGUAUGAAGAAGGCCUUCGGGUUGUAAAGUACUUUCAGCGGGGAGGAAGGCGGUGAGGUUAAUAACCUCAUCGAUUGACGUUACCCGCAGAAGAAGCACCGGCUAACUCCGUGCCAGCAGCCGCGGUAAUACGGAGGGUGCAAGCGUUAAUCGGAAUUACUGGGCGUAAAGCGCACGCAGGCGGUCUGUCAAGUCGGAUGUGAAAUCCCCGGGCUCAACCUGGGAACUGCAUUCGAAACUGGCAGGCUAGAGUCUUGUAGAGGGGGGUAGAAUUCCAGGUGUAGCGGUGAAAUGCGUAGAGAUCUGGAGGAAUACCGGUGGCGAAGGCGG